GAAACCGAUUGGAUAAUUACGCACGAAUGAACAUGUCGUGUGAGGAAAGUCCGAGCAUUCAAGGGCAUAUCGCCUGAUAACGUCAGGAGCAGGUGACUGCGUGGAAAGUGCCACAGAAAAGUAAACAACCCGCAAGGGUUCAGGUGCAACAGUAGUGUAAAAGACUACUCGGAAUAUCGAGAGGUAUUCUUGCGGUAAACCCCGAUAGAAUGCAAGUUCAGUGUAAAGGUUAAGGUGACCCGCCGUCUUUCGACAGAACGCUUGAGCCGUGUGGUGACAUACGGUCUAGACAGAUGAUUAUCUAAAACAGAACUCGGCUUACGGAUCGGUUUCUUUU
rnacentral:RNase_P_RNA from 1 species